rfam:Brachypodium distachyon strain Bd21 chromosome 1, whole genome shotgun sequence.
UUGUUCUGAUGAUGAGUUGCAGAGUUAUUGCCUACAUUGUUUGAUAAUAUCUUUGUGAUAACAACUGCAAAAUCUGAGGCUUAU